UAAUUUGGACUGUACCUUUUCAACUUUUGCUAUGAGUAUGUAUCUACCAGCUAGUUAUGAUUAGUCUGCCUGGUUUCUCUCUUCCCCUCUCUCUCUCUCUCUCUCACCUAAUCUUUCGCUCGCUCCCUCCCCCUUUCUCCCUCUCUCUCCCAUUGUGUCUCCCUCCGCUUUUCUUUUUGUCUGUGGAAAACAAGUAGGUAGACAUCUGUUUGGCUGCGAACUGACAUAAUUUAUUUACUUCAGAUACGACUCAAGAUGAGCAGAAUGAAGGUCAAUCUCGAAGUCCCAGUCAGAGCUCAAGGCCUGUGAGGCAGGACUUCAUUCCUUGAUGAAUGCGGCUCAACUGCUAACAGGAUAAAAAGACACGGACCAGGGUUGGACGCUUUUUAGAAUUUCCUCUCGUGAGGCACAACGACGUGUCCGCGAAUGAUAGGUCCGCGACGCCGUCCUCCCCCUGCAUCCAGAACGCUAGUGUCACGGGUGGAGGGGAGCGAGGCUGCCAUCUCCGAAGACAACACGCCUCUGAGUGUGCGCCUCCUAGUUUGUGCGGCAAUGUUCCCCGUGUUCAAUGAGAAAAUUCAAUGCCCCAGCGCCCAGCUAGUACUGACGCAAGAGGUCUCCCAAAAGUCGUUCGGAAAGUCGUUAAAAAAUCGUUGCGCCGACCGGCUCCACAAGCUGAAGACUGCGCCAGUGAAUGCAUUUGAAACGGCACCUCUACUCUCCCAUCGCCAGGCCCAAAGACGUGUUGUUCAUAGGUGUCGUUCACACUACUAGUGUUGCUGAUCGCGGAGGACCACUGUCCACUGCUCGUCCGCCGUGGCGUUACUUCUGAUGAGGCUCAGAGCGCAUGUUUACUGUGAACAACCUGCUGAAAUAUAUAAUGAGUAAAUUUG